GCGGGUGUGGUGAAAUUGGUAGACACGCCAGACUUAGGAUCUGGUGCCUCACGGUAUGCGGGUUCGAGUCCCUCCACCCGCA
rnacentral:tRNA from 3 species